CCUGGCCGCGCGCCGUCCGUCCGGCGACGCCAGCGCCACCUGCGCGGCGCCGCCCGCCCGCCCUGCGCCGACUGGACCGUCGCCGCCGUCCGGAACGCCGCCGCCAGCUGGGCUGUGUUCGCCAGCCAGACCGCCUUCACCGGCGCCUCGACCGCCGGCCUCUGGCGAGGAGCAGCGGCGAUCGCGAGCCGCCGCCGCCGAGCCUGAUCCGGCCGCCGAGCCGGGCCGUAAAGGUAGUGCCGCAUUGCCUCCUCUCCGGGUGCGAUGAAGGUGUCCCUAGCCCGCGGGACCCUCAGCGCAGGACCACACCCGCCGCCGUCAUCAGCAACAGACGACCGGCCGUGUUGCUGUUACCCGCCGAUGCUAGUGCCAUCUUGUGACUGGCAUGAACACUGCUAGUUGUGUGUCGACCGCACCGUCGCGCGUUCGCGGUGGCCGUGGUCGGGCGACUUUGGCUUGGGAGCGGAGACGAAAUGCGCCUAUUUUGGUAUCGGCGUACAGAUGUGCUAGAAGUUAUAGAUAUAUACGCUUCGUAUCUUAUGGACUUGCCGUCGAUUGCUGGAUGUAGAUGGUUACGAUAGUAGACGUCUGCCGGUUGCCAGCAAGCGUGUUAGACACUGCAGGCUGGGUUAAACGAUACGACGAGCUUUCGCGUUCGUGUGCCGAAGAAUUGUUUUGCCAUGCAUGCCAGCCCCGCUAUGGCUGUUGCGUUGUACUUGUUAGUGUGAUUUUGUCAGCCAGUGUGUGUGGGUUUUGCUGGAGCAUUCGUCGUAUUUAAGGAAAUGUGCUAGCCAUUUUGCCAUGCCAAUUUAAGCACUAACAUUCCCUGUGUGUUGGUGCUCGACUUACCGUUCCUGUGAUAGCCGCAUGACCGAGCCAAAUACACUGUUACGGUAUUA